rnacentral:rRNA from 2 species
UCUGAUGUUAGCGGCGGACGGGUGAGUAACACGUGGAUAACCUACCUAUAAGACUGGGAUAACUUCGGGAAACCGGAGCUAAUACCGGAUAAUAUUUUGAACCGCAUGGUUCAAAAGUGAAAGACGGUCUUGCUGUCACUUAUAGAUGGAUCCGCGCUGCAUUAGCUAGUUGGUAAGGUAACGGCUUACCAAGGCAACGAUGCAUAGCCGACCUGAGAGGGUGAUCGGCCACACUGGAACUGAGACACGGUCCAGACUCCUACGGGAGGCAGCAGUAGGGAAUCUUCCGCAAUGGGCGAAAGCCUGACGGAGCAACGCCGCGUGAGUGAUGAAGGUCUUCGGAUCGUAAAACUCUGUUAUUAGGGAAGAACAUAUGUGUAAGUAACUGUGCACAUCUUGACGGUACCUAAUCAGAAAGCCACGGCUAACUACGUGCCAGCAGCCGCGGUAAUACGUAGGUGGCAAGCGUUAUCCGGAAUUAUUGGGCGUAAAGCGCGCGUAGGCGGUUUUUUAAGUCUGAUGUGAAAGCCCACGGCUCAACCGUGGAGGGUCAUUGGAAACUGGAAAACUUGAGUGCAGAAGAGGAAAGUGGAAUUCCAUGUGUAGCGGUGAAAUGCGCAGAGAUAUGGAGGAACACCAGUGGCGAAGGCGACUUUCUGGUCUGUAACUGACGCUGAUGUGCGAAAGCGUGGGGAUCAAACAGGAUUAGAUACCCUGGUAGUCCACGCCGUAAACGAUGAGUGCUAAGUGUUAGGGGGUUUCCGCCCCUUAGUGCUGCAGCUAACGCAUUAAGCACUCCGCCUGGGGAGUACGACCGCAAGGUUGAAACUCAAAGGAAUUGACGGGGACCCGCACAAGCGGUGGAGCAUGUGGUUUAAUUCGAAGCAACGCGAAGAACCUUACCAAAUCUUGACAUCCUUUGACAACUCUAGAGAUAGAGCCUUCCCCUUCGGGGGACAAAGUGACAGGUGGUGCAUGGUUGUCGUCAGCUCGUGUCGUGAGAUGUUGGGUUAAGUCCCGCAACGAGCGCAACCCUUAAGCUUAGUUGCCAUCAUUAAGUUGGGCACUCUAAGUUGACUGCCGGUGACAAACCGGAGGAAGGUGGGGAUGACGUCAAAUCAUCAUGCCCCUUAUGAUUUGGGCUACACACGUGCUACAAUGGACAAUACAAAGGGCAGCGAAACCGCGAGGUCAAGCAAAUCCCAUAAAGUUGUUCUCAGUUCGGAUUGUAGUCUGCAACUCGACUACAUGAAGCUGGAAUCGCUAGUAAUCGUAGAUCAGCAUGCUACGGUGAAUACGUUCCCGGGUCUUGUACACACCGCCCGUCACACCACGAGAGUUUGUAACACCCGAAGCCGGUGGAGUAACCUUUUAGGAGCUAGCCGUCGAAGGUGGGACAAAUGAUUGGGGUGAAGUCGUAACAAGGUAGCCGUAUCGGAAGGUGCGGCUGGAUCACCU